UGAGGAAUAUUGCGCAAUGGGGGCAACCCUGACGCAGCAACGCCGCGUGAGUGAGGAAGGUUUUCGGACCGUAAAGCUCUGUCGAGCGGGAAGAAAUGCAUGGUGGCUAAUAUCCAUCAUGCUUGACGGUACCGCUAAAGGAAGCACCGGCUAACUCCGUGCCAGCAGCCGCGGUAAUACGGGGGGUGCGAGCGUUGUUCGGAAUUAUUGGGCGUAAAGAGCGUGUAGGCGGCCGAAUAAGUCAGAUGUGAAAUCCCUGGGCUUAACCCAGGACGUGCAUUUGAAACUAUUCGGCUGGAGUAGGGGAGAGGAAAGUGGAAUUCCUGGUGUAGAGGUGAAAUUCGUAGAUAUCAGGAGGAACACCGGUGGCGAAGGCGACUUUCUGGCCCUAUACUGACGCUGAGACGUGAGAGCGUGGGCAGCAAACAG
rnacentral:rRNA from 1 species